GCGCGCUGACGCACCGUGGAGAGCCAGUGAGCUCCCUCGCAUCUCUUCGUCUCCAUUCUUUUCUUCCUCUCCCUUUUCCCUCUGAAUAAUCCACUUCUUUUGUAGGAGCAGAUUUGGGGCUCCAUGGGCAUGGAGCAGCACCGUCGGUGGAUUCGUUACUCGGUACCCCGCUCUCCCGUUCGUCUCGCUGCCGCCACUCCUCCGACCCUCUCCAACAGUCUGGCUCCUCUCUUUUUCACUGGGAGCAACGAGCGCAUCCCUGCGACGGACGAGUGACACAGCCCUACAACGAGCGCCCGGCGACUGCUCCUUCAUCCCCACCAGCCAGGUCACCACGCUGGUAGUGGUACCUCCGCCCCCACCUGUGCAAGCCGCCUCGUCGGCACGUCCGUCCUCACCGGUCAACGCGACAUUAGCUAGGGAUUGUUCUGUGAGCAUCAAUCAGUCUGGAUGGAGAACUCUCUCAUCAAACAUUGGCAAGGACAAAAGAGGUGGACACAUUCAUUGGGAGGCUUUUAGAUAUUCACUCAAGGAUGAUGUGCCUUUACAAUUGCCUUACACCAAGAACCAAAUGAACUGCUCAUCUAGCAGUUGGAGCAAACCUACAAAGCUAGAGCACGAGAAAAUGAUGAGGCAAUACUAAGUAUGAGAAGGUUGUCGAUUAAGAAUAUGAGUCUGCAAUGCAGGAACUGAGCGCCAUAAUUCCUGUUUGGGAGAAAUAAACUUUCAUAAAAACAGCUAUAAGCGACCUUUGUCAUACCUUAAAGUGGGAUAUUUGACUGCUUGUCCAGCAAACAAUGCCUUUGCACCACACAGAUUGGGAGGUCGCAAUUUGUUUCAAACCAUCAGGGACCCCAGCAGGUUUAUCCUUGUUGCACUGGGCACUUGUUCCUGAUGAUAGUCGCCUGCAGUUUGGAUGAAUGUGGAAAUGUUUUCCUGAGAGUUCACUCUCUGCUCUCAAUCUUUAUUUUUUUUGUAUUAUUUUGUUUUGCCUGUGUAGACCACCAGGUCACUUGUGUACUAAUUAGUUUAGAUGUAAUCUGGCACUCAGCCAUUAUAUGCUUAUUGACAUGCGCCUACUGCGCUUUUUGCCAAAUUAUAUGUUCCCAGAAUUCCAUUGAAAAGCCAGGAGAUUGGGGCCUGCCUCCCUACAAUAAUUGUUGUAUAUCUAAAAAAUUGUUCUCGUGUAAGUUGCUUAACACCUGAUCUGAUGAUUAUAUUGAAGGAGCAUAGCAUCAACAAUUAGGUGUUGUGAUUGGCUUGCACCUGACUCAGCAACUACUGUAGGUUGUUGAAAAGGACAGGGAUGGCCAACUUGCAUAGAAACUGAAGAAUAAAUUGAACAUUUCUGUUGAAGGAAACAACAAGGAAUCUAUCUAACUUGCUGAGGUUGAGGUUCAGGCAUACAGACUUUCUAAUGCAGGUCAGCAUCCAUGCCAAUCUUUUCACCAGUCUCUGAAAUACUUUUUUUUUUGAGUUGCUUACGGUUUUGAGUAUCUUUUCUUAGAAAACAUUGUCUUCUUCUGAACGUGUUUUGUAAUUGUACUAUUACUCCAAUUCACUAUGGAGCUGUUUUACUUUUUUGUCUUUCUUAUGUCGAUUAAUCUUGGGAGACUCUGAAGAAGCCGUGGUGGCAGAGCUGCAGGGGGAUGGGGGAUGUGGUUCCGGUGGUGGAUGAAGCUUUGGUGGGCUGAUCAAUAUGCUCGCGGAUUGUCUGUACAUGAAUAUGGACGUAUAGUUGCCCCUAAAUCAUAGUGGAGUACAUGCAAAUAAUAUGUGACAUGGGUAUUGAUCACAAAGCAAUUCAAUAAAAAAAGAACCAAUUUCGGAAAAUACCCAUAUUGCAAUAUGGGUAUUUUUUUUUUCUGAAAUUGGUUGUUUCUUUAUUAAAUUGGCUGCAAUAUGGGUAUUUUUUCCGAAAUAGAUGGUAUCGUGAUCCAGUCUUUUUAUUUUGUAAAAAGAACUCAUAUUUGAUUUGAUAUGCAGUCUGCGUGUCUGCAGUAGCUGAAAGGGAUUUUUUGUGUGUGUGUGAACUGAAACGGUAGCGUUAUGCUGAUGAUUAUUGU